AUACAAUAUUUGAUUAAUUGAUUUAAAUAAUUUUGAAAGAUCAGCUAGUUCAGCGAAUUGAAACAUUACAUCAGCAAAUCAGCGACCCGUAAAUAAUUUUGAAAGAUCAAUGAGUUCCAGCCAAAAAUGGGUUCAGCCACGAAUUGAAACCUAGGUCAGUAAUUGAAGUACUGUAAAUUGAUUGAUUGAUUUCGUUAUACAACAAAUUCCGAGAUGAAGAGUUGUUUAUUUUGGUUGCUCCAAAACGAUGAAAUUAAAUGGAGGAAUUCUGAUCAGUUCUUCACUUUUGAGAUUAUUUAAAAACCCCAAUAAAUUUGAAGAAGAAGAGGAGGAAUUUCCGAAUUUUAAUUGCGACAAUUGUUUAUGCAACAACCUGACUCAAGAGAGAUGAAGAUGUCUGUGUGUUUCAGGAAUGCUGCUAGCUGCUAGCUGCUAGCAGUAGUGUCACACUGUCACUGUAAGUUGUGUAAACAUCGUGUUUUUCGUGUUUAUCAGACUUGUAUAGAUUAUGAUAGGUAAACUUUCAAAUUUCAACCCUCCAAUUCCCUUAUUGAUUAGAAUGAAGGAAACUCUAUACUGUUGCUGUCAAAUUUCUGGCAAGCAAAAACGAUGUAAACAAGUCAUUGAUUUCUGACGCAUUUUAGUUUCA